UUUAUCAUUUCAUAGAGUUCCUCAUAAUUUUUGAUAUAAUAAUAUAUCACUCUUAUAUUUUUCUCUUAAUUCUAUGAGCUAAAUCAUUCAGUGUCCAAAUUAAUUUGUACCGAUUAGUAAAUAUCUUCUCAUUUAUCCUUGGAUAUCCCUCCUCCACGUCCCACAUGUCAAGGUACCACCAAUCAGAUUUCCAACCUCUCAUUCUCGUCCACUCUCUUUGACUUUUCCUUCUUUCUAUUCAUAAUAUCUUUCUUUCUUCUUCUGCAACAAACUUCUCUUUUCUUCUUCUUCCUCUUUUCUUUUAUUCCUUGCAGCACUUCUUCCUUCUUUCAUUUCUUUUGCUGAAGCACCCACACCACCAUGGUACCUCUCACUCACGUCCCCUUCUCCCUCUCCACGAGAUGCUACUGCUGGCCACCAUCACCAUGUCUUCUUCCUCUCAACACCAUCGUCCCUCCUCCUCACCGUGGCUGUAUGUCCAGCCAAGAGCCACCACCACCUUGACUUUUCUUCUCCUUGGACAACCAACCCAUGAGCCACCACCAUAUACAAAAGCUCCGACCAUGGCCACUCCAAACAGCCAUGAACACGCGAGCACCACAGCCACCGCUGGUCACCACCGCCACGCCUCCUUUCAUGAGCGAACCACCAUGUCUUCUCCAAUCUUCAAGGCUGAAGCCAUUUUUCCUCAAAGCUUUCCUUUUUCGUGCUUUUCUCCUCUCACACAAAGAACAAACAAGGUAGCUUAUGUCAAGGGCUUCAAACCUAUGCUUUUAGUUUUCAAUUUGGUUAAGUUUUGAAAAUGUUGUGCUAAAAAGUUGUUUGGACCUCUUUCUACUCUUUGCUAAGCUUAAUCUUUAUGUGGACAGUCUUGUGGUGAUGCAAAGUUUUUGAGGAAAAGAUGAGAAAAGCUUGUUAUGUGACUGUUAAAAAUUAAGUUUUGAGUUAGUGAUUCUAGUAUGUUAUUUCUAGUGGUAAUAGCUUUCUAUUAAUGUAAAUGUUUUAUGAAAAAGUUGAAAUUUUACUCAUAAGUGAUUUUGGAAAAAAAUAGCUUUUCAUAGAAAGGGUUGGAAAAGAUUGUUCUUGGAAUUUUUCUAAGCUUAGGCAUGUAAUUUAUUUUGGGAAACAUCAAUUCUUGAAAAUUUCUUAAAUUGUAUGAAAAGAAUUUUGGGGCCUAAAACACAACAUGCUUAGAAGUUUUGGGUUAAACUUGAGUUUUAAAAGUCUUGAGGUUUGUUUGAUAAAUUUAUUAAAGAUUGAGGGUUGAAAAAGAACUUACUUUUAUGUGAGGACCUUUUCGUGAUUAUGUGCUUGUCAAGGGACUAGAGUUGAAUUACUUAAAAGUUGAGGAGUUGUUUUCUAAAUGGGCAUUUAAAGGGGCUUUUCUUUAAAAAACAAAUAUUUUAUCUUUGGACUUUAGUCCUUGAAACAUAAAGUUUGUGCAUUUAGCCUAAGUGAGCGAGAAAGAUUGGCUAAGUUUGUUAUGGAACUUUAGAUGUGACUUUAGAGGCUAAGGUUUAGUAUGUGAACUUGUGAAGGGUACGAAGGACGAAAGCGCCUUGCGACGAAGCUAAGGAAUAGAAGGAAGCGAGCCGACGCGAAAAACAAAGAUGAGAUAGGAUUGGAGUUGCAGUUUAGGAAGAAAAUUGGCUAAGAUGAUUAUGAUUAUUAUGCUGAAUUUGGAAAAUGUUUUCUGAGAGGCUUCGGCCGUUUACUGGUUUCUGUCGUUACUGCUUCCUAGUGGAUGGAACAUGUGGUUACUUUGGAUUGGUCCUUGGGUGGGCUUUGUUAUUGUCUGACUUGGCAUAUAGGGCUUGAGUCAAGUGGCGAUGAGGAGGUGUGUCCUAUCAUUGUCCCAUCUUGCGAGGUGCUAAGUGGCGAUCAGGAGGUGUGUCCUAUGAUUGUCCCGUCUUGUGUGACGAUAAGUGGCGAUGAGGAGGUGUGUCCUAUCAUUGUCCCGUCUUGAGAGACGAUAUUGAUCGAUCCAUUUUGUUAGCGGCAUAUAGUUGCAUUAUAGGGAACUAACACCUGACCCUAUGUUGUUGGAUUUUCGUAUUGGGUUAUUGAUAUAUGAUUUGAUGUUACAUUGUUGAGGUUAUUAUUAUCUGAGUUCGAUAUAUGUUUAAGUUGUUGAUAUAUGAGUUGUGUUAUGUUGCUAGUUAUUUACCAUGCCAGGUAAUUAAAUUCGAACAGCAUGAUUUUCUCUUUUAUACAUGGUAAUUGCAUGGAGUUAACCCUUUCUAUUUGCUACUUGUUGUUUGGGCGCUUAACGCUAUUAGGCGAUGGAGAAUCUUCGAUGAAGGUUGACCUUCGUACGAGUUCGAGAUGAGGACUUGAAGAAUUAUGGAAGACUCAAAGAAUAGAGUCGGGUCUAGGGAUAGAGCCUUGGGUUAGAGAGCUUACCGUUAUUGGUUUAAGGUUGAGAUAAUGAUUUUAUGAAUUUAUAUUUGAGGUUUCGGGUAGGUUCCGAUGCAUUGCUUUCCUGCGGUUCCCCGAUGUGGAGAUCGUAGGGAGUAUUUCGGAUUUAUGGUGUCAUUGCAUAAUAGGUUCUUUGUUGAGUUGUUUCUAUUGGUUAGGUUUUGUAGGUUGGGUGAUUUCGGGUUUACUUUCGGGUACUCGCCUUGUUCAAGGCUUGAUGUAAAUCCCAUUGUAGUUGGGAGUAUGCAUGACAUGUUUUGGAAAUACAUUUGAAAAGAAAAAAAUAAUACUCGUGUUUAUGUAUCA